rnacentral:rRNA from 1 species
GAUGAACGCUAGCGGCAGGCCUAACACAUGCAAGUCGAGGGGCAUCACGGAAGUAGUUUACUACUUUUGGUGGCGACCGGCGCACGGGUGCGUAACGCGUAUGCAACCUACCUUAAACAGGGGGAUAAUUCGGAGAAAUCUGGUCUAAUACCCCAUAAUAUACUAAUAGGCAUCUAUUGGUGUUGAAAGCUCCGGCGGUUUAAGAUGGGCAUGCGUGACAUUAGCUAGUUGGUACGGUAACGGCGUACCAAGGCUACGAUGUCUAGGGGGACUGAGAGGUUAACCCCCCACACUGGUACUGAGACACGGACCAGACUCCUACGGGAGGCAGCAGUGAGGAAUAUUGGUCAAUGGACGCAAGUCUGAACCAGCCAUGCCGCGUGCAGGAAGACGGCUCUAUGAGUUGUAAACUGCUUUUGUAUAAGGGUAAACCCAGGUACGUGUACCUGGCUGAAAGUAUUAUACGAAUAAGGACCGGCUAACUCCGUGCCAGCCGCCGCCGUAAUAC